CAGCAGUGAGGAAUAUUGGUCAAUGGGCGGUAGCCUGAACCAGCCAAGUAGCGUGAAGGAUGAAGGUUCUAUGGAUUGUAAACUUCUUUUAUAAAGGAAUAAAGUGAGGCACGUGUGCCUUUUUGUAUGUACUUUAUGAAUAAGGAUCGGCUAACUCCGUGCCAGCAGCCGCGGUAAUACGGAGGAUCCGAGCGUUAUCCGGAUUUAUUGGGUUUAAAGGGAGCGUAGAUGGGUUGUUAAGUCAGUUGUGAAAGUUUGCGGCUCAACCGUAAAAUUGCAAUUGAUACUGGCGUCCUUGAGUACAGUUGAGGUGGGCGGAAUUCGUGGUGUAGCGGUGAAAUGCUUAGAUAUCACGAAGAACUCCUAUUGCGAAGGCAGCUCACUAAACUGCAACUGACAUUGAGGCUCGAAAGUGUGGGUAUCAAACAGGAUUAGA
rnacentral:rRNA from 1 species